GGUAGGCAGUGAUGUCUUACAGUGAUAUGUGAUCAUGUUGCCUGAACUGGAAUCCAUCUUUAAACUGGUGCUUUUCCAUUUAGAAGGAGGGGUGGGA